UCAAGCCAGCGCCUCUAUUACUAUACCGCAUACCGCCAUACUAUACUAUUGCUCAAUGCCUCUCCAUUUGGUCAGAGGCACUGAUCUCUAUCUAUAAAGGCUGGAUGGCGCAUGGGAGAGGGGCUCGCGGGGGAGAGGCGUGCAUUCGGGCCGCCAUGUUGGGAGGCCCUAAAGCGCAGUGUGCGCCCAUAGAAAACAAUGGGAGGCAACGGAGAUUGCGCAGUUGUGCCAAACUGAAUGUCCUUCUCGAGUACUCACAUGCUUUUGCUGAAUACAACUGCAGCGUGAGCAAAGCUGCUUAGGAACGGGGGCCUGCUAUCCAGUGCUGACUUUGUCAUGCUUGUUAUGUGGAGCACGUUCGAAAAAAUGCAGCUGCACAUCUGAAACUCCAAUGAGUAUCAUCGUCAUCUAAAAGAGAGCGUCGUAGCACCGUUGUGAGACCAGACACGCUUUCUGAAUAUCUGCUAUGGCACCUUCCGCAGUUUGCACAAUUUUGUUCAGCAUCGAAGUCUCUCAUAGGAACCACUUUGCAUUAACUGUGACUCCGAUCUUACAUUUUGAUGUGCAAGGGCCUUCUUGCACUACACACAUAUGAUCUGCAACAGGAUAAUUGCAGCAGGACGAUUUGGAGCUUGAAACAGUUGUGAUUUUGUCAUUUUGGCCCUCGUGUACCCCAUCUGUGAAACGUAAACAAAAAAUAUCUAACACGAUAUGCUUUUGUAAAGAAGGUCACUGAUGGUGAGUAAAGAGAAUAUACAAGUUCA